rnacentral:lncRNA from 1 species
UGCCUCCGCCCACAAUAUUGCCACGAGCUCGGUCUCCUCGCUAGAAUAUGCAGCGCGAGUGCCCUUGGCUUUCGGCUUCACCUCCUCCGGCUCUUCUUGAACGUUGGCGUUCGCCGCCGGCGUAGGAACAUUUCCCGUAGCCAAGACAUUCGAGGCUGCUGAAAAUGGAGCAAACCCCAUCAUUGGAACCCUCGAUCCGCAUUGUUGCUCCAUGUAUUCAUCGAAUUCACGAUCCAUCUUUGGAAAUGUAGAAGAGAGAAUUUUUUUUGGGAGAGAAUUGUAGUUGAAGGUGUUGGUGAAUUUGAAAGAAUGGAAGGAAGAGUAGUAUUUAUAGAAGGGGAAAAAUAAAAAAAAAAUAAAAAUACAAAAUAACCGUUGUAUUUGCAACGGUCGUUUUUUUUUUUUUUAAAGAAAAUUUGGAAACGGUCGAAUUUUGCCAAAAUAGCCGAUUUUUGGAUUUUUUUUUUUAAAUUGGGCGCGUC